rnacentral:rRNA from 1 species
GUCUACGGCCAUACCACCCUGAACGCGCCCGAUCUCGUCUGAUCUCGGAAGCUAAGCAGGGUCGGGCCUGGUAAGUACUUGGAUGGGAGAAAAGAAUCCAAAGAAUCAAUGAAUCAAGGAGUUGGUUC